rnacentral:rRNA from 1 species
UUCACUAGUGAUGGAUCNCAGGCCUAACACAUGCAAGUCGAACGAGAUCUUCGGAUCUAGUGGCGCACGGGUGCGUAACGCGUGGGAAUCUGCCCUUGGGUUCGGAAUAACAGUUAGAAAUGACUGCUAAUACCGGAUGAAGUCUACGGACCAAAGAUUUAUCGCCCAGGGAUGAGCCCGCGUAGGAUUAGCUAGUUGGUGGGGUAAAGGCCUACCAAGGCGACGAUCCUUAGCUGGUCUGAGAGGAUGAUCAGCCACACUGGGACUGAGACACGGCCCAGACUCCUACGGGAGGCAGCAGUGGGGAAUAUUGGACAAUGGGGGCAACCCUGAUCCAGCAAUGCCGCGUGAGUGAUGAAGGCCUUCGGGUCGUAAAGCUCUUUUACCCGGGAUGAUAAUGACAGUACCGGGAGAAUAAGCCCCGGCUAACUCCGUG